CCAGGAUCUGCCAGGACUGGGAAGGGAGGCAGGAGGCUUCUCUGGGUAUAAAGCAGCUGAAAUGUGGAGUUUCCUCCCAGGAGCUGAGAGCGUGUCCAUGGGCCCAGUGCCUGGCGUGUCCUCCCUGGGAGCUUGCUGGACGCAUGACCAGGAUUCUGGGAGGGCAGAGGACAGACCACAGGCACCCAGGAUAACUCAGUACACAUGGGUUCUCAGCUUCCUGUUCACAGAGAAACCUCAGACAAGAAGCACGUCGCCCAUUUCUCAUCAAGGCCAACCCCAGACCACGAGAGCGCUUUCUCUGCGUCAGCCCCAGCACCCCAGCGCCCCUGCCUCCGGGCGCCCGCGGCCUCCGCACUCCAGUGGCCCAGACCUGGCUGAGGCAGCUCCCGUGGUAGAUCAAGCCUCACAGGCGGCUGGAAGAGCCAGUUCUGGGCUGGGCCUGUGGGAACAGGCGUCUGUUAGUCAGGGUUUCAGGAAUGCGGCCUUCGAAGCCUGAAGCGGGGAAUGGCGGCUCUGGGCCCUCAAGGGGCAGGCGGUGAGCCUGGGAGGCCAGGCCGGGCUGACCCAAGGGGAGAGGACCCUCUCCGCCCACUGCCGCUGGCCCUGGGCAGGUCUAGAGCCUGGGGGUCUCCAGAGGCACAAUCCCUUAUCUCCGGGAGAAGGCAGAGGGCAGAGGCAGGAAACAAAUCUCCUGUCAAAAUUCCUAAUUAAAAUACUAAGUAAGUGAUGGCUCCAGGCUGA